rnacentral:rRNA from 1 species
AUUGAACGCUGGCGGCAUGCCUUACACAUGCAAGUCGAACGGCAGCACGGGCUUCGGUCUGGUGGCGAGUGGCGAACGGGUGAGUAAUGUAUCGGAACGUACCUUUCAGUGGGGGAUAACGUAGCGAAAGUUACGCUAAUACCGCAUAUUCUGUGAGCAGGAAAGCAGGGGAUCGCAAGACCUUGCGCUGAUUGAGCGGCCGAUAUCAGAUUAGCUAGUUGGUGAGGUAAAGGAUCACCAAGGCGACGAUCUGUAGCGGGUAUGAGAGGAUGAUCCGCCACACUGGAACUGAGACACGGUCCAGACUCCUACGGGAGGCAGCAGUGGGGAAUUUUGGACAAUGGGGGCAACCCUGAUCCAGCCAUGCCGCGUGAGUGAAAAAGGCCUUCGGGUUGUAAAGCUCUUUCGGCCGGGAAGAAAUCGUAUGGGUUAAUACCCUGUGCGGAUGACGGUACCGGCAUAAGAAGCACCGGCUAACUACGUGCCAGCCGCCGCGGUAAUAC